UACAGAGGUCUCAAGCGUUGUUCGGAUUCAUUGGGCGUAAAGGGUGUGUAGGUGGCGCGCUAAGUCGGGUGUGAAAUUUCGGAGCUUAACUCCGAAACUGCAUUCGAUACUGGCGUGCUUGAGGACUGGAGAGGAGACUGGAAUUCAUGGUGUAGCAGUGAAAUGCGUAGAGAUCAUGAGGAAGACCAGUGGCGAAGGCGGGUCUCUGGACAGUUCCUGACGCUGAGGCACGAAGGCCAGGGGAGCAAACGGG
rnacentral:rRNA from 1 species